UCUGGGAUUCCUUUAUAAGGAUCAACCAAAAACAGCUGUAAGAUAUAGUAACAGGGAUACUGUGGUAGGGUGUCUGUCUUCUAUUAGUUCUGCAUAUUGUUGUGGUUUUGAUCACUGAAAUGGCUGUGACUUUUGGACUCUCUUUGAGUGUUUCUUGGAUUUGUUGCCUGCUAAUUGGAGGGAUAAUGUGUUUUACCCUUCAAGAUAAUGCUUAUGGGCAUCCUGCCUACACUGAACCAGAAUCAACUGGAUCCCAAGCAAGUGUGGUGUCUGGUCCAAAUGCUAAAGCUAAUGGCCGCAAUACCCCAGCUAGUGUGACGUUGUGUCGAAAUGCCUCAGCAGAAGCGGCCGGCCCCCGCGCCUCAGCAGAAGCUACUGGCAAAAAUACCCCAGCAAGUGUGACGUUGUGUCGCAAUGCCUCAGCAGAAGCGACCGGCCCCCGCGCCUCAACAAAAGCGACCGGCCCCCGCGCCUCAGCAGAAGCGACCGGCCCCCGCGCCUCAGCAGAAGCGACCGGCCCCCGCGCCUCAGCAGAAGCGACCGGCCCCCGCGCCUCAGCAGAAGCGACCGGCCCCCGCGCCUCAGCAGAAGCGACCGGCCCCGCGCCUCAGCAGAAGCGACCGGCCCCGCGCCUCAGCAGCGAG
rnacentral:lncRNA from 1 species